rnacentral:rRNA from 1 species
UACGAAGGGGACUAGCGUUGUUCGGAAUUACUGGGCGUAAAGCGUGCGCAGGCGGCUUUGCAAGACAGAUGUGAAAUCCCCGGGCUCAACCUGGGAACUGCAUUUGUGACUGCAUGGCUAGAGUACGGUAGAGGGGGAUGGAAUUCCGCGUGUAGCAGUGAAAUGCGUAGAUAUGCGGAGGAACACCGAUGGCGAAGGCAAUCCCCUGGACCUGUACUGACGCUCAUGCACGAAAGCGUGGGGAGCAAACAGG